rnacentral:misc_RNA from 1 species
GACAGAGGGUGCAAACGUUGCACGGAAUCACUGGGCGUAAAGCGCGUGUAGGCGGAUUGGGAAGUCGGCUGUGAAAGCCCCGGGCUUAACCCGGGAACUGCAGUCGAAACUCUCAGUCUUGAGUGCCGGAGAGGGAGGCGGAAUUCCCGGUGUAGAGGUGAAAUUCGUAGAUAUCGGGAGGAACACCAGUGGCGAAGGCGGCCUCCUGGCCGGUUUACUGACGCUGAGACGCGAAAGCGUGGGGAGCAAACAGG